CGGGCUUCGGCCUGGUGGCGAGUGGCGAACGGGUGAGUAAUACAUCGGAACAUGUCCUGUAGUGGGGGAUAGCCCGGCGAAAGCCGGAUUAAUACCGCAUACGAUCUGAGGAUGAAAGCGGGGGACCUUCGGGCCUCGCGCUAUAGGGUUGGCCGAUGGCUGAUUAGCUAGUUGGUGGGGUAAAGGCCUACCAAGGCGACGAUCAGUAGCUGGUCUGAGAGGACGACCAGCCACACUGGGACUGAGACACGGCCCAGACUCCUACGGGAGGCAGCAGUGGGGAAUUUUGGACAAUGGGCGCAAGCCUGAUCCAGCAAUGCCGCGUGUGUGAAGAAGGCCUUCGGGUUGUAAAGCACUUUUGUCCGGAAAGAAAUCAUUCUGGCUAAUACCCGGAGUGGAUGACGGUACCGGAAGAAUAAGCACCGGCUAACUACGUGCCAGCAGCCGCGGUAAUACGUAGGGUGCGAGCGUUAAUCGGAAUUACUGGGCGUAAAGCGUGCGCAGGCGGUUUGCUAAGACCGAUGUGAAAUCCCCGGGCUCAACCUGGGAACUGCAUUGGUGACUGGCAGGCUAGAGUAUGGCAGAGGGGGGUAGAAUUCCACGUGUAGCAGUGAAAUGCGUAGAGAUGUGGAGGAAUACCGAUGGCGAAGGCAGCCCCCUGGGCCAAUACUGACGCUCAUGCACGAAAGCGUGGGGAGCAAACAGGAUUAGAUAC
rnacentral:rRNA from 1 species